rnacentral:rRNA from 1 species
GACGAACGCUGGCGGCGUGCUUAACACAUGCAAGUCGAGCGAGCGGCGGACGGGUGAGUAAUGUCUGGGAAACUGCCGGAUGGAGGGGGCUAACAACUGGAAACGGUAGCUAAUACCGCAUACCAUCAGAUGUGCCCAGAUGGGAUGAGCUAGUAGGUGGGGUAAUGGCUCACCUAGGCGACGAUCCCUAGCUGGUCUGAGCGGAUGACCAGCCACACUGGAACUGAGACACGGUCCAGACUCCUACGGGAGGCAGCAGUGGGGAAUAUUGCACCAUGGGCGCAAGCCUGAUGCAGCCAUGCCGCGUGUGUGAAGAAGGCCUUCGGGUUGUAAAGCACUUUCAGCGAGGAGGCGUUACUCGCAGAAGAAGCACCGGCUAACUCCGUGCCAGCAGCCGCGGUAAUAC